CAUCUUGUGGAUAGGAAAUCGAAGAAAUGCUGGGCCUUUUGCAACUAAAUCUUCCAUCAUCUGCUCCUCUUCUUUAGCUUUGGUUCGACCGAGGAGUCGAAUCAGAAUGUGUCGUAAGGCACAGAGCUUCAAGAGAAAGCGUAUUCACCGAGCCAGUACGGAAGAGAAAAUGAAGAGAAGGUUUUCAAUUAGUGAAGUUUUAAUCCGGAACAAAGACGGGGAGGAACUCGAGAGGAAGGACCUUGAGGCAGAGGCAGCAGCGGCUUUGAAGGCUUGUCGCCCAAACUCAGCUCUCACUGUGCGAGAAGUUCAAGAAGAUGCUCACCGGAUUAUCGACAGUGGGUACUUUUUCUCCUGCAUGCCUGCCGCAGUUGAUACCAGAGAUGGGAUUCGGUUGAUUUUUCAGGUAGAACCGAACCAGGAGUUCCAAAGGUUAAUAUGCGAAGGAGCCAGUGCUCUUUCCUUGAAGUUUCUGGAAGAUGCAUUCCAUGAUGGAUAUGGAAAAGUGAUCAAUAUCUGGAGUUUGGAUGAAGUGAUAAGCUCCAUUAAUGGGUAGUACAUGGAGCGAAGUCUACUUGGCAUGAUGUUGAAAUUCUCUCUGGUGGGAUCAUCAGGUUUCAAGUUUCAGAAGCUGAGGUCAACGAUAUCAUCAUAGAGUUCCUUGAUAGGAGGUGGUGAGUUGAUUACUGCAAAGACAAAGCCAGAAACUAUACUUCAGCAACUGACCGCAAAGAAGGAAAAUGUUCAUCAAUUUGCAUGCUGGUGUGCAUGAUGACAAAGGAGACCCCAAGAUUAAGGAUCAUUAUGGCAGCCCACUGACUGCAAGUGGAAAUACUCAAGAUGAUAUGCUUCUUGUAAAACUUGAAUGUGUCUACACUGGGUCUGCCAACCAUGGGUCUUCAAUGGUAUACUUCUUUCCAAUUAUCACUACUGGUCCCUCUGUAUUUUGGAGAAAAUAAGCAGCAUUUUUGUGCUGCUAUGCCGUUAGCCUCUCAUUGCUAUCUUCUAUUUUCUCCAGUUUGUCUUCAACAUGGAACAAGGACUUCCUAUUUUGCCCGAGUGGUUGUGUUUUAACAUAGACUGCCCGUGCUAGAAAGGGUGUUGAAAUUGAACCUGCAUGUAUCCCUUUUAGAUAUGAUAUCCUGUAUGUUCUUUUUUGUUCAUGAGAAGCAUUUCAGCUGCAGAACUUGCUCUAAAUACGCACAACUGUAAAGAGGUGUGCUGCAAUUAAGCUGAUAUUUGUAUGUGGUUGGCUGUGGAGAGAUUUCUUUUCCUAUGCUUGGACCAGUUGUGGGGGCCAUUUUUACUGACUAUGGAAGCGAUCUUGGAUCUGGCCCUACUCUGCCUGUUAUAUUUUCUAUAACUAUAUCUAGUUUCUGUUUUGUCAAUCAGACUAGAAAUGGAUAUGAGCGAAAGAAUGCUUUAGCAGAAUAGCAGUAUAGCAGUCAAAAAUCUAGGAACAGGAAUACUAGUCGAAUAAAAUGCACUAUGUAUUUUCUGAUGUUAAAAGGACUGGGUGGUUGUCUAGUACAUCAUUUCCUGCUUUUUCUUGGCCUUUCAAGUUCCAUAAUUCCUGGCCUAUUCAACUGAAAACUGCAACCUAUUGGCAGCAUGGUGCAACAUCCAGAUGCCAUACCUCUUCUUCCCCUUCUAUUUAAUUUUGUUGCUUCUUUACCUUUCCAGGUGAUCCAGCUGGAGCAAGAUCAAAAACCUGGAAGUGGUAACGGUUAUGGGUUCGGGAUCCGUGUAGACUCCCCCUUGGGGCCACUGCGGUUGGAAUAUGCAUUCAACGACAGCCAGGAAAAGAGGUUUCAUUUUGGAGUUGAUCGCCGGAAAUGAUGGUUUCUUUGCUUCAUUGGCAUUGCUAAUUCCGCGCUAUUUGUUGUUCUUUUCUUUACAUUAUCACUGCUAAUCUAUUGGCUGCAGUUUUGAUUCUCGCUAUACACAUAAAAAAGGGUGAGAACAAAGAAAUAAUUAAAGAAAAUCUCUGAAAAUAUCUGUCAUUAUGGAUCCUCUUCCCCCCAUCAUGUGGAUAACUUCUCGUAGUCGUUGCAAAUCUGGAUGGUGAAUGAAGUCAGGACUCAGGAUGCUGUUGAGAAAGAGAGGAAAUUUACCUCGGCAUAUUUUUGGUGGCUAAAACCCUAAAUUCUCGAGGUGUAAGUUUUCUUGAAAAUGGAACAAAUUACGAAUUAUUCAGUCAUAAGCCUCUUCACCUAAGAGAAGUAAACCUAUUGUUGUGUUUGGGAUAAAAUCCGUUUAGGUUAUUAAAAUGCUGAAGCAGAGGGCUACAGUUUUGGCUGCAUCAAUUUCGGUCGAAAUUCACUAGACUCGUCGUCUGUUGCUGGAAAACGGAUGAUAUCUCAGACUCAAUGCUGGCUUCAAACUCGUACUUCAUAUAAGCAUAUCGCUUUUAUGAUUGGUUGUACUGAAACUAAGGUUAACGCUUUCCAUUUCUCUUGCAGUCUAUUCAUGUUUGAUGUAGCUCUGUAGAUCAGUCAUGGAAUGACCAUGUAAUUUUUUUUUUCACUGCAUAGGCUUUUAUGCUUGUCCAAUUGAAUUGAAUGAUCUGAAUUUACAUAUUGGACUAUUCAAAUGCUGCCUA